AUUGAACGCUGGCGGCAUGCCUUACACAUGCAAGUCGAACGGCAGCACGGGUGCUUGCACCUGGUGGCGAGUGGCGAACGGGUGAGUAAUACAUCGGAACAUGUCCUGUAGUGGGGGAUAGCCCGGCGAAAGCCGGAUUAAUACCGCAUACGAUCCACGGAUGAAAGCGGGGGACCUUCGGGCCUCGCGCUAUAGGGUUGGCCGAUGGCUGAUUAGCUAGUUGGUGGGGUAAAGGCCUACCAAGGCGACGAUCAGUAGCUGGUCUGAGAGGACGACCAGCCACACUGGGACUGAGACACGGCCCAGACUCCUACGGGGGGCAGCAGUGGGGAAUUUUGGACAAUGGGCGAAAGCCUGAUCCAGCAAUGCCGCGUGUGUGAAGAAGGACUUCGGGUUGUAAAGCACUUUUGUCCGGAAAGAAAUCCUUGACUCUAAUACAGUCGGGGGAUGACGGUACCGGAAGAAUAAGCACCGGCUAACUACGUG
rnacentral:rRNA from 1 species